CCCUUAGAUGUUCUGGGCCGCACACGCGCUACACUGGCAGGUUCAUCGUGCUUCAUGCCCUGAUCUGAGAAGAACGGGAAAUCUUUGAACACCUGCCGUGCUUGGGAUAGAUGUUUGCAAUUAUUCAUCUUCAACGAGGAUUGCCUUGUAAGCGCACGUCAUCAGCGUGCAUUGAAUACGACCCUGUAUUCUGUACACACCGCCCGUCGCUCCUACCGAUUGAAGUUUUCGGUGAAUUUACUGGAGAUCCCUUUUGAAGGUGGUUCGCCACUGGAAGAAGUAUUCAAAAGUAAAUGAAUCGAAUGCUUUAGAGGAAGGAGAAGUCGUAACA
rnacentral:rRNA from 1 species